rnacentral:rRNA from 1 species
CUCAGGAUGAACGCUAGCGACAGGCCUAACACAUGCAAGUCGAGGGGCAUCGGGGCGAGGAGCAAUCCUUGCCGCCGGCGACCGGUGCACGGGUGAGUAACGCGUAUGCGACCUGCCCGUUGCAGGGGGAUAAUCGGGAGAAAUCCCGUCUAUACCGCGUAAUGCCGCGGGGCUGCAUGGCCCUGCGGCCAAAGGGAGCGAUUCCGGCAACGGAUGGGCGUGCGUGACAUUAGCUAGUUGGCGGGGCAACGGCCCACCAAGGCGACGAUGUCUAGGGGUUCUGAGAGGAAGGUCCCCCACACUGGUACUGAGACACGGACCAGACUCCUACGGGAGGCAGCAGUGAGGAAUAUUGGUCAAUGGGCGCGAGCCUGAACCAGCCAAGUCGCGUGAGGGAUGACGGCCCUACGGGUUGCAAACCUCUUUUGUCGGGGAGCAAAUUCCGCCACGUGUGGCGGAGUCGGGAGUACCCGAAGAAAAAGCAUCGGCUAACUCCGUGCCAGCAGCCGCGGUAAUACGGAGGAUGCGAGCGUUAUCCGGAUUUAUUGGGUUUAAAGGGUGCGUAGGCGGACUGUCAAGUCAGCGGUAAAAUACGGGGGCUCAACCUCCGCCCGCCGUUGAAACUGACGGUCUUGAGUGGGCGAGAAGUAUGCGGAAUGCGUGGUGUAGCGGUGAAAUGCAUAGAUAUCACGCAGAACUCCGAUUGCGAAGGCAGCAUACCGGCGCCCGACUGACGCUGAAGCACGAAAGCGUGGGUAUCGAACAGGAUUAGAUACCCUGGUAGUCCACGCAGUAAACGAUGAAUACUAGCUGUCCGGGGCGAAUGAGCCCUGGGUGGCACAGCGAAAGCGUUAAGUAUUCCACCUGGGGAGUACGCCGGCAACGGUGAAACUCAAAGGAAUUGACGGGGGUCCGCACAAGCGGAGGAACAUGUGGUUUAAUUCGAUGAUACGCGAGGAACCUUACCCGGGCUCAAACGACACAGGAACGUACCUGAAAGGGUUCGGCUCUACGGAGCCUGUGUCGAGGUGCUGCAUGGUUGUCGUCAGCUCGUGCCGUGAGGUGUCGGCUUAAGUGCCAUAACGAGCGCAACCCCCAUCGACAGUUGCUAACAGGUCAGGCUGAGGACUCUGUCGAGACUGCCGGCGCAAGCUGCGAGGAAGGCGGGGAUGACGUCAAAUCAGCACGGCCCUUACGUCCGGGGCGACACACGUGUUACAAUGGCAGGUACAGCGGGAAGCCACCUGGCGACAGGGAGCGGAACCCGAAAGCCUGUCUCAGUUCGGAUUGGAGUCUGCAACCCGACUCCAUGAAGCUGGAUGCGCUAGUAAUCGCGCAUCAGCCACGGCGCGGUGAAUACGUUCCCGGGCCUUGUACACACCGCCCGUCAAGCCAUGGAAGCCGGGGGUGCCUGAAGUACGCUGCCGCGAGGAGCGCCCUAGGGUAAAACCGGUGAUGGGGAUAAGUCGUAACAAGGUA